GGCGCUGGGGAGGAGCGACUGCAGCCCCGGGCCCGGCCGGCCGGGUCCCCGCGGAGCCUGCGCGCACAGCCGGCAUCGCCGGCGCCUCCCAGGGCCUCCGUGCACGUGCACUAGUUCUGCGUGGCUAACCCGGACCCCGGAGGAACCUCGGUGGCGCUAGUCUUCUCUCUUGAAACCUUUGUAACUAUUAAGGCUGAAGUGCCAUUUAAAGAAAAAGGAAGGCAAAGAAAUGAGCUAUAGGAAGCCAUGUAGGGGUGAGGCAGAGGAAGAGGAGAGAGAGAACCUUAAGCAAGCUGUACACCAAGCACAGAGCUUGAUGCUGGGCUCAAUCUCAACAACCCUGAGAUCAUGACCUGAACUGAAAUCAAGAUUUGAACACUUAACCGACUGAGACACCCAGGCACCCCUACCCAUUUUUUUAGUUUUACAAAAAGGUUUGCCAGUUUCUUUGCUUACCUCUCCUCUGUGUUUCUCAUAUCUUUUCUGGGUCUUUUUUUCCUUCUUACUCAAAUACAUCUUUUAGUGAUCCUCCUGUGAAUGUCUGCUAAUGACCCUACUCAUUUCCUCUCCCUUCAGAGGCCACUCUUAUCCUAAAUUUACGAUUUAUCACUUAUUUGUUUUCUUGGUAGUUUUACAAGAAAAAUAAAUUGUUAUGCAUGUUUUAAAACUUUAUCAGUGGACUAAUGUUGAAUCUAUUUUUCAAUUUGUUUUUUCCACUCAAAAUUAUGUUCCUGAGAUUUUACUAAGUUGUUGAAGAUAGCUAUAAUUUAUUCCUAAUCUUACUAUAUUGUAUUCCAUCAUCCACAUUUUACCCAUCUUAACUGUUAAUGGACAUUGGCUUAUUUCUAGUUUUUUACUAGUAGGCAUAAAGCUACUUUAAGCAUUUUCAUAAACACCUCCUGCAAAUGGAUAGUUUCUCUAGAGUUUAUACUUACGGGUGGAAUUGCUAGGUCAUAAUGUAUGGACAUCUUCAUAAAGCAAAAUUGGUUUCCAAAAUGACUGUACUAAUUUACAUUCCCAUCAGUACUAUAUGACAAAUUGCCUUGUUGCACAUUGCUGCUGAUGCCUGAUAGUUUUAGGCCUGAAUAUUUGCCAAUUUUUUGGAUAUGUAAUGGUUCUUCAUAAUAGAAUUAAUUUGUGUUUUUCUGAUUGGUAAUAAGACUGAGUGACAUUUUAUAUGUUUAUUGGCCAUUUAUAUUUUUUAUAAAAUGCUUGUGCAGUUCCCUUGGUCUUUUUAAAAAAAUUGGUUUGUUUUUGCUCAUUAAUUUAUAAGAAUUCUUUACAUAGCCAGGAUACUAAUCCCUUGAUAGUUAACAUAUUUAACAAGUGUAUAUUGUAUAUAAAAAUAUAUUUAGCAAAUCUCUUUCUAGUCUGUGGCUGAUCGCUUCAUUCUCAU